rnacentral:rRNA from 1 species
CAGUAGCCACGGUAAUACGGAGGGUGCAAGCGUUAAUCGGAAUUACUGGGCGUAAAGCGCACGCAGGCGGUCUGUCAAGUCAGAUGUGAAAUCCCCGGGCUUAACCUGGGAACUGCAUUUGAAACUGGCAGGCUAGAGUCUUGUAGAGGGGGGUAGAAUUCCAGGUGUAGCGGUGAAAUGCGUAGAGACCUGGAGGAAUACCGGUGGCGAAGGCGGCCCCCUGGACAAAGACUGACGCUCAGGUGCGAAAGCGUGGGUAGCAAACAGGAUUAGAUACCCCGGUAGUCCCUGUCUCUUAUAC